CACGCCCCCUCCGUUGAUGACAUAGCCGGCCGAGCGAAGCAAGCGCAGAAAAAGAUUAUCAAGAAGACAAGUCGCCGAGUACGCGCCCGCACAGAAUCGGCCGAUCCACCCGUGGUUGCAUCGGCAGAAAUUUCGGCUACGCCGACCCUUCCGGUCGCUGAAGAAGUUGACCUCCAAGCCGCUAAAGAGGCCGGAGCGGCUGCCGCGUCAUUGUUGGUGGAAGCUAUUCAGGCCGUGCAGAUUGCCUCAGCAGAUCCACAGCAAUCUGCAAUGCCCCAAGCAGAAGUUGAAAUACCAGUGCCCCUUCCCGUUGAGGUCAUCGGCACGUUAACUAUGCUAUCCGACUAGCCAUCUGCCAAAGAAGUCCUUCAAGAGGCCGGCCCGAGCAGAACGCCGAUCGUUGUCGAAUCCUCUUCUUCCGAUGAGCCAAUGGCACCAGUCCCCGAGUCGAUAGUGGUUGUUCCACAAACGCAGAUGGAGGAGAUCCAUUUCAAAGAGGAAUAGGACACUCCCAAUAAUAGCCUCUUCUCAUUUGCGGUCGCGCUCUCUGAUGACGAGGAAGUUGCUUCUCGUCAAGUUACUUUGAGCUCCAUCCCCGAUGACGUCCGCGCUAAGCUUGAAAGUAUACGGUCCCUUCUUUAAGAGGACAUCAGCCGAUUGGUGGAGGACGCCUCGCCGAUUCGGCAGCUCUUUGGUGACGUCAACGGGCGAGUCCCAGAGGAAGCAGAAGAAGCCUUGGCACCGGCCGCUUAUAUCGAGUCGAUGCGGAUCCCGGUCUUCAGGGCUCUGCGUCACAUGGCCGAUCGCGCCAAGCUGGCCAAGACUCGUGAGGAAGAGGACUCGUACAAGCAACGGGCCCAGGAGGUACACCAUCGGAUUCACUUCCUCGAGAAUUCCCGACCUGGACUCGUCGGCACGAUAGAUCGCCUCAAGCACCGAAGGGCGGAACUUGCCAAGGAGAUGGAGUAGGUAACCAAAGAAAUAGCUAUUGAAGAGAAGAAGCUUCAGGAACUCCCUUCCGUUAUCGCCGAUUUAAAGCAGGAGAGGCAGCAUUUGGCCCAUGAGGCCCUUAGACUCCAUCGCCAUAUGUCAGAAGUUCCAGGGUCGGCAGAUGAUGACCAACGAGUCUUGGACUCGGCCGAUCAGAUCAGGCAUCGAGCGAUUGCGGCCAUUAACGCCCUUCUGGGUGACUUGUAAAAGUA